GGGACCCGUGUCUGGGAGCGAAGAACUUUCUGUGAGACAUCAUGCAGUCAAAUUCCACUGGUAGAGCGAGAUACUGCCUUUGAAUUUACAUACAAGCCAAAAGAAAGUAAAGUCUAGCUUGGCAGAGCCCAUCUCUCCAGCUGAGAAUACCUUCUGACCUGGAAGCUCUGUGAGGGCAGGAACUGAUUUCUUGUUCACAAUUAUAUUGCCAUCACUGCAAAUAAUGCCUGGAAUGUAGUAGAGUAGAGCUCAACAAAUAUUUUAUGUUCUCUGUAUUACAUGAAUGAGUCUGGCUUUAUUGCAUGAAUGAACCCAUGGAAGGAGAGAAGGAGGUAAAAUGUGGGCACUGGUAGGUCCAACACUCUCUUAUUUGAAGAAGGUGCUCAGGGGUUAUAUCACUCACUGGGCUGGCUGUGUAACAGUCACAUUUUGUGGGCACUACCACUGGCUGCUCAAGCCCACAGGGCUAGGAGGGUACAGGACCAAAGGUCAUUUUAAUCCCACAUUCUAAUGGAAUGUGCAACUUCGGAUGUGCCAGGUAUAAGUAGGAAACAUGCAAGGAACUUGAGCAUAGAGGAUAUUACUCAUCCUCCAAUAUUUUUGUACACAUUUUGGUCCUGGAUGCUACCAAAGAAAUCUGAUUACUCUAAAUACAUGUGGAGUUAGAGUAGCCCAUGGGAGGAAAAGAAUAGGAUUCGGUCUUACCUUUUUCUCCCCAUCAGAGGUUCAAAGGUAGUAUGAUAGAUCUGAUAAACCAAGUGGCUACGACUGAGGCCACGUUGCAAGAACAGAGGUGCACCUGAGGAAGCUCACCAGGUGAGAGGAGUUAGCGGGGGCCGAGGACCACUCUCAACCCCAGGGCUUGGGUCAUGAGAGUCAAGCUGAUUCCAGACACAGUGCACAGUGGGUACUAGUGUGCCCAAAUCACACUACAGUAGCACUGGUCAUACAGUUUUAAAAAUAAAGCUGGAUGCUUAUAAUGCGAAACAACAAACGUGCUAAACGGUGAUUUGCCAUCUAAGAAGUCUUAAUGCAGAGAAAUGUUCUAGUCCUUUCAGGCUGCUCUAACAAAAUACCAGAAACUGGAUGCCUUAUAAACAACAGAAAUGUAUUUCUCACAGUUCUGGAGGUGGGAAGUCCAAGAUCCAGGAGCCUGCUGAUUUGAUGUCUGAUGAGGGUCUGCUGUUUGGUUCACAGACAGCUGUCUUUUUGCUGUGUCCCCACUUGGCCAAAGGCACAGGGAGCUCUCUGUGUCUCUUUCAUAAGGGCAUUAAUCCCAUUCAUGAGUGCUCCCCCCUCAUGACCUAAUCACUUCCUUAAGGCUCCGUCUCCAAAUGCCGUCACCCUGGAGAUUAGGUUUCAACAUAUGAAUUUGGGGAGGGCACAAACAUUCAGUCUACAGUAGGAAACAAGGAGAAAAGGAACAUCUUCCCCUUCAAGGGAUGAAACUGCUUGGCCUCAAUGAUUCAGUGGAGGCCUCUGUGGGAGCCAGCAGGUGUGGAGAGAGUGAGACUGGAGGCCACCAGGCCAGGCACAGUGGCUCAUGUCUGUAAUCCCAGCACUUUGGGAGGCCAAGGUGGGUGGAUCACCUGAGGUUGGGAGUUGGAGACCAGCCUGACCAACAUGGAGAAACCCCGUCUCUACUAAAAAUACAAACUUAGCUGGGCAUGGUGGUGAGCAGCUAUAAUCCCAGCUACUCGGGAGGCUGAGGCAGGAGAAUCGCUUGAACCCAGCAGGCAGAGGUUGCGGUGGGCCAAGAUCACGCCAUUGUACUCCAGCCUGGGCAACAAGAGCAAAGCUCUGUCUCAAAAAAAAAAAAAAAGAAAAAAAAAAAAAAGAGUGGAGGCCACGAAGGAUCUGCAGGAUAAUGUCACCAUAAUUAUAUAUGUGGCAAGAAAACCCAAAGGAAGGGACGGAGGGAAGGAGGAAGGAAAGAAGAGAGGAAGGAAAGAAGAAAGGAAGGAAGAUAGAUAGAUCUGGCUUCAAAAAACUAUAAAAAUGCCAAAGACAAGGCUUUCAUUCAAAAGUGACAGCCUGGUUCACCCUGUAGUGGGGAGCAAAGUGCAAGUGCAGAUUAAAAGCAGAAAUGGAUGUUCCCCUAAUGUGGCAAAAAGGCCUUGACCUGUAAUACCAGAUUGUCAACAAAAAUCCUCAGAAUGUAUGUGUGUAAGAGAGGGUGAGAGAGAAGGUUUUCCCACUUCAGCUAUUUAGGUCCUGUGCCUUCUCAUCACUCCCUAGAGGCAGUUGGAAAAGAAGGAACAAAAAGCACCAAAGUACAUACAUCCCAAUGCCCAAGUUAAUUUCACAAGAGAAAAGCCUAAUAAAGCCCAAGUAAAUAAGAAAAAUGAAAAGAAUCUACCCAGGAAAUUUAGGGGAAGAUCACAGGCCAGAAUAUAAAACAUUCCUGGGUUAAAAAGAGAAAAAAGUUAUGUGACCUAUGCAAUGAUUAUUAUUUAGGAAGGAAGGAAGGAAGGAAGGAAGGCUAAAUACAUGUAAAGAAGAGGCACAUUCAAAAGAGAAUGAGAAUCAGUAGAAAAUUUGAUAAAACAAAUGGCUGACACUUUAAUAUAAUUAAAGAGAACACAGGCUCUAUGAAAGAUGAUAUCAAACAUAAAAAGACAAGAAAAUAAUGAAAUCUAAAGGAAGCGGGCAGAGGUAAAGGAGAAAAUAAUUUCAUUGCAGAAAUAAUAAAUGAUUUAGGCUGGGCAUGAUGACUCACACCUGUAAUCCAACACUUCAGGAGACCUAAGUGGGGGAGGAUUGCUUGAGCCCAGGAGUUUGAGGCCAGCCUGGGCAAAUAGUGGGACCUGGUCUCUACGAAAAAUCUUAAAACAAAAAUUAACCUGGUGUGGUGGUGGAUGCCUGUAGUCCCAGCUACGCGGGAGGCUUAGGUGGGAGGAUCACUUGAGCCCAGGAGGUUGAGGCUGCAGUGAGCCAUAAUCCUGUCGCUGCACCCCAACCUAGGUGACACAGUGAGACCCUGUCUCAAAAAAUAUAUAAUAAUAAUAAUAAAUGAUUUAGAAACAUCAAGUAAAAUUGCAGAAAACUGAGUUUGUGAUUUUGUUGAUAGAUGAGAAAAUCACACAGAAUGAAGAGGAAAGGGGAAAAAUUGAAAAGAAGUUACAAAGAAGUUAGUAGAUAUGGAAGGUAGCCAACCUAGUUACAAAAUACAGAUAAUUGCUCUUCCUAAAGUCAAGGAAAAAAAUAUUCAGAUGUAGCAGAGAGAAAGUUUCUGAUAUCACAGAAGAGUGGAAUUUUCAGAUUAAAUUAAUUAAUAUAUCAUAAUUAGUCCAAGGCAUAUUUCCUGCUGAAAUUACUAAACUUCAAGGAUAGAAAAAGAAUUCUCCUAACACCUAGACAGAUGAAACAAAUCAAAGAAGGGAAAUACCAGGCUGGCUUCAGACCACUCCAUAGCAACAUUUGAGGCCACAGGACUGGGGAGCAAUAACUGACGAAUUUUAAGUGGAAAAUCAUGGGGCCCAGAGAAGUUGUUGUCCAACAUGUAAAGAUAACAACAAAAUUCUCAAAUACGUAAAGAUUCAAGAGACAUACUACCUAUAACUUCUUCCUUAAAAAAAUUAUUUGAUGAUAUAAUCUACCCAAUUAAAAAAUAAUUCAAAAUUAACUUGGAGAUGGAAAAGCUUUGUCCUAAGGACUCCUUAUGUGUCCUAAAUAAAUGUGAACACACUGAAUGAAGUCUAAAUAGUGAUGCUUAUUACACCUAGGUAAUUAUCAAAUAUAAAGUCAAUCUUUAAAACCUUCAAAUCAAAGCUAAAUAAUAUUUUAGAAAUAAUAAUAGAUUCAGUGUCCUAUAGCUAUUAACAAAAACAGAAGGCUAAAGAGAAAGAAAAUCUAAAAAUAUAUAAAGCGGCUGGGCGCAAUGGCUCACACCUGUAAUCCAAGCACUUUGGGAAGCCAAAGCAGGAGGAUCGCCAGGAGUUCGAGACCAGUGUGGGGAACAAAGCAAGGCCCUGUCUUAACAAAAAAUUUAAAAAUUAGCUGGGCAUGGUGGCGUCUGCCUGUAGUCCCAGCUACUCCGGAGUCUGAGGUGAGAGGAUCGCCUGAGCUCAGGAGUUCCAGGCUGCAGUGAGCUGUGAAUGCACCACUGCACCCCUGCCUAGGAGACAGAGUGAGACCCUGCCUCUAAAAAGAAAAAGAAAAAAAAAAAAGAUGUAAACUGAGCAAAUUUCCUCAUCUUCAACAAAGGACUAAUAGAAAUUUUAAUUUUUUAAAUUGAUAAUUGAGAAAUAUAGGCAUACGUACAUUAUUACAAGUUGUAAAAUUCACUGCUAAUAGAAUAAAAAACAGUGUCUGCAUUCAAUAAUAUAAUGCUGGUAGGGCUGGUUGGAGGAGGGCUAAAGGGGUGGAAACACUGAUUACUUACAGUAGGAGAUCUUUUAUCCGGAAUUCCAAGGACUUAACCUGUUCAGAUUAAUGACAGUAUACAUAUGUACCUUCCAAAAGAGCUGGGUAAUCAAAGAACAAAUUUGAGUAUAUAAAUGUAGUAUAUAAUAAAGGAAAUAAGUCAAGUUAAGAAAUAAAUAGUCUUUAAAAAUGUAUAUACUUUGAAUAUCUUUUUAUUAUAAAUAAUAUAUCAUGCCAAAGAAUUGAAUAUUAAAUCGCUUGUCAUAAUUUUGCAUCAGUUUAAAACAUCGGGCUUACCUAUAAAAGCUAGCAUUGUGCACUAUAAACAUAAUAAAUGUGUUUUACUUAAUUCCUUUGUGAAAUGCACUCACAUUUCCUUAAAAAUGUAGGGAAGGAGAUAGGAAUAUAAUGCAAGCAUAUAAAUAUAUAAAAGUUACAUUCACCAAGAAAUUCUCGUUGAUCUUCAUAUAGUGGCAAAAAUCACUCAUUAUCAGGAUAUGUUGUAACAACUUUUGCAAACCAGAAGAGAACAGAUGAAGUAACAAGCUAUUUUGGAAAGAGGUAUCUGCUUGUCCUUGCUAGUCAUUUUUUUUUCUCAAAUUUCUUUCUCAGAAUGUACCUACAGAGCAUUUUCUGCUUAGUAACAAAUCACCAUUUUUAAAUAAAAUGUAUGAAAUGUUUUACAACAUGGAACAACUAGAAACUAUUUCUCAUUCAUCAUAACCUUUCCAUCUUGCCUACAUUGUUUGAGUUGCACCACCAUAAGAGUUGGACUGGUAGAAAAGUUUUGAUUUUUAAAUGUUUAGACUUCUAAAUAAACAAUCUCUACUCUUACAAAGACAGUAGUAACAAAGAAGGUGGAAAGAAAGUAUUAAACUCAUAAAAUAUGUAAUACAAAGACUGACAUAAGGUCAAACAUAUGCUAUAACAAUAAAUGUAAAUGAUAUGAACAUCCAAAUAAACUUAAAAGAAAGCAAACCCCAACUUUAUGUAAAAUAUUAAAUAUUUCUUAUCAUCUAUGCUAAUAUCAAAAUCUGAGUAAAAUGGACCAUUUCCUAAGACAAUAUAAGUCUACAAAACUAGAUUUCUUUUUUCAUUUUGAAAUGGAGUCUUGCACUGCUACCCAGUCUGGAGUGCAAUGGCGUGAUCUUGGCUCACUGCAACCUCUGUCUCCUGGUUCAAGCGAUUCUCCUUGCCUCAGCCUCCCAUGUAGCUGGGAUUACAGGUGUCCACCACCACACCUGGGUAAUUUUGUUGUAUUUUUAGUAAAGACGGGGUUUCACCAUGUUGGCCAGGCUGGUCUCGAACUCCUGACCUUGUGAUCCACCCACCUCGGCCCCCAAAGUGCUGGGAUUACAGGCAUGAGCCACUGCGCCCGGCCCUCUUUUUUUUUUUAACUGAUAGAAAACCUAUCUAGCCACCACAAACUGGUCAAGGAAGUACAACUCAAAGGCCAGGACCAGGCUUUCCAUGGACUGAAAUAAUUAAAUCAUUUAAUUAUAUCAGAGUUAAAGGAAAUAAUUCUUCUUACAAAGGCAGUAAAACAGUGAUGCUAGAGGUUUGCCACAAUGGCACAGAAACAAACAAAAACUACAGGCUAAUCUGACUAAUGAAUAAGAUUUCAAAAUACCAAAUGGGGGUAAUUCCAGACUUCUGAGGAGUUUCACAAUAUAAAUAAUAAUAUAAAAUUUGUUAAGAGAUUUUACUAUAUAAAUAGAUCAGAGAAUUUGAACCACAGGAUGAUUUCAAUAUUUGCAAACAAAAAUAAAAAAUCUUAACUUUUUAAAAGAUAUAACUAUAGUGGUAAUAGAAUAAAACUUAAAAAAAAAACUUUUUAAGCCAUAUUUUAAAAACAUAUAUUUAUCUGUGUAUCACAAACUAACAGCCAGUACAGCACUUAAUGGUGAAAAACUAGAAGUAGUCUCAUUAAAGUCAGGAACAAGACGAGAGUACUUGUUAUCACCACAGUUAUUUAAUGAUUGUUCUGGAAGUGCUCACCAAUGUAAUUAGAUGAGAGAAUGAGAUAAGAAGCAUAAAUAUUGGGUAGGAAGAGGCAGAAGUGUCAUUAUUUGCAGAUUAUAAAGAUUAUAGUUUUUAAAAACCCAAGUGAAUCAACUGAAAAACUACUAGAAAUUUAAGAGAAUUUAGUAGAUUAUCUGGUUAAAAUAUGAACACAAGUAAUAACUUUCUCAUUUGCCUAUAAAAACUAGUUAAAAAAUUUAAACUUAUGAAGUAGUUUCCUAUUCACACACACAAAAAUAAAAACCAGAAAUGUGUCUGCUUUAUAUUAAGGAAGUUAUAAAACCCUACAGCGAGCACAUCAACCCCUUUAGAGGACAUGGUGGUUCAUACCUGUAAUCCCAGCUACUUGAGAGGCUGCGGUAGGAGGACCACUUGAGCCCAGCCCAGGAGUUUGAGACCAGCCUGGGCAACAUAGAAAGGUCCUAUCCCAAAAACAAACAAACAAAUAAAACAUACAGAGGACACUGAUAAGUGUGAAAAGAAAAACUUAAAAUGUCAUUACAGACUAAAUUAUAGGCCAGGCACACUGGCUCAUGCCUAUAACCCUAGCACUUUGGGAGGCUGAGGCAGGCAGAUCACUUGAGGUCAGGAGUUCAAGAUCAGCCUGGCCAACAUGGCAAAACACCGUCUUUACUAAAAAUACAAAAAUUAGCCAGGCAUGGUGAUAGGCACCUGUAAUCCCAGCUACUUGGAAGGCUGAGGUGGGACAAUUGCUUGAAUCUGGGAGGCAGAGGUUGCACUGAGCAGAGAUCAUGCCACUGCACUCCAGCCUGGGCUACAAGAGAACCUGUCUCAAAAAAAAAAAAAAAAAAAAAAAAAAAAAAGAAAAGAAAGAAAAACAGCAAAACUCACUAAACGAUAAAUAUAAUACAAAAAUAAAUUCCUGGCUGGGCACGGUGGCUCACACUUGUAAUCCCAGCACUUUGGGAGGCGCAAGGCAGGCCCAGGAGUUCAAGACCAGCUUGGGUAACAUAGUGAGGCCCCUGUCUUGAAAAAUAAAUAAAUAAAUAAAACAAAAACAAAUUCCUAAUAGGCCUUUUUUGAGAAACGUGACAAAAAUGAUUCUAAAGUUUAUCUGUAGAAUUAGCAUGUGAGAAUAACCAAAGCAGAGUUGUGAAAUAAGAAUAUUAGAAAAUUAAUUUUAUUAAAAUAUGUAUCUAUAUUAUAAAUUUAUAAUAUAUAAAUUGAAUCUAAAUUGGUAAUUUUAAUGAAUUUUUAAUUAGGAAUUAAAAGUGUGAUCAUGGUCCAGCAAUAGAUCAAAGUAACAGAGCCCAAAAUCCAGAAAUAAAUCCAAAUUUACAAGGAAACUCACUAUAUGAGAAGGAUAGAUCAUCCUUCUCCCUGAAUGGCAAAAAGAUGAAUCAUUUUAUAAUUAUAUUGAGGCAUUUGGCUCAGGCUAAAUACAUAGGGGUCAUUGUGAUAGUUCCCUUUUCCUCCCUAAAAGCCCCUCCAUCUAUCUGCAAAUCCUACUGACUGCCUUCAAAACACACUCUGAAUCUGAUCGCUUCUUGCCACCUGUGCAGCAAUCAGCUUCUUCACCACCUGCCCGGAUUUCUGCAGCUUCCUAAUCAAUGUCCUGGUUUUUCUCUUCCAGUGAUCUUCUCCACACUGCAGUCAGGCUGGUCUUUCAAAAAUGUAAAUCAACUCAUGCCAUUCCCCUUCUCAAGGCCUCCCAAUAGCAUCCCAUCUCACUAAAGAAAAACAUCCCACCUCCUUACACGUGCAUAGACCCUCCCAGAAUUCAUGGCCCCUGCCUAGCUCUCUGACCUCAUCACUUCCCUCUCUCUCCGCUCUAGACACACCAGCCUUCUAGAAGCUCUUUCUUGCCUCAGAUCCUUGGAAUUUCUUUUCUCUCUGCCAGAGUGCUUCUCCUAGAUCUUCAGAUGGCUCACCCUUCACAUACUUCAUGUUUUCCUGUGAAAAUGUCCACUCUGCAGAGGCCACGCCUUGCCAUCCUAUCUAACGUACUACCUUCCUGUCACCCUCUGCUUCAUCUUCAUUGCUCUAUCACUCCCUAGAUUGUUCCUUCAGAUAGCCUUGUUUAUCAUCUCUCUCUCCCACUAGAUUGUAAGCUCUAUGAGGACAGGGACUCCAUCUGUUUUGUUCACCAGUAUAACCCAACCCCAGUGCAUAGCACAGUGCUUUAGGACAUGGUAGGUGCUUAAUUAAUAUUUGUUGAACAAUGAAUUGCAGUGGGUAUAGAGAAAAAUGUAGUUAUUUAGGAAGUAGAAUUAAUAGGACUUUGUGACUUAUUCAAUGGAGGAGUGAAGGUAGCCUGAGGGAAGGACCUAAGGAUAAUUCUAAGUUUCUGGACCAGGUAACUAAAGAAAUAUUGCAUCAUUCUUAUGUUGGGAAAUUCAGAGCGAGGUUAUUCAGACUAUUUUGCCCAUUUAUUAAUUAGAGAAAUGGCUAAUUUUUACCAGUUUGAGGAAGAAUAUGAUGGGCAAAGCAUAGUUUCAGAAAAACUUUUGGCCGGGUGCGGUGGCUCACACCUGUAAUCCCAGUACUUUGGGAGGCCAAGGUGGGAGGAUCACGAGGUCAGGAGCUCGAGACUAGCCUGGCCAAUAUGGUGAAACCCCAUCUCUACUAAAUAUACAAAAAUUAGGCCAGGCGUGGUGGCUCACACCAGUAAUCCCAACAUUUUGGGAGGCAGAGGUGGGUGGUUCACGAGGUCAGGAGUUCAAGACCAUCCUGGCCAACAUGGUGAAACCCCAUCUCUACUAAAAAUAAAAAAAUUAGCCGGGCAUGGUGGCGUUUGCCUGUAAUCCCAGCUACUUGGGAGGCUGAGGCAGGAGAAUCACUUGAACCCAGGAGGCAGAGGUUGCAGUGAGCUAAGACCGCACCACUGCACUCCAGCCUGGCAACAGAGUGAGACUCCAUCUCAAAAAAAAAAAAAAAAAAUUAGCCAGGCAUGGUGACAUGCACCUGUAGUCCCAGAUACUUGGGAGGCUGAGACAGGAGAAUUGCUUGAACCCAGGAGGCGGGGGUUGCAGUGAGCUAAGAUCAAGCCAUUGCACUCCAGCCUGGGCGACAGAGUGAAACUCCAUUUCACAAAAAAAAAAAAAGAAAAACUUUUUAUACUUUCUGUGCGAUUUUUCUGUAAACCUAAAACUCCUGUAAAAGACAAAGUGUAAUAAAAUUUUUAAGAAUGGGGCUGUAACAUUUACCUCCCAGUGUUGCUAAGGAAAUUAAAUAAAAUGACACUCAAGAACAUGCCUGGAACCUAGGCACUGUUCUCUAGUUUUCCAUCAGUCAAAUGCCAGUGGCUUAGGCCGUCACUUCCUUUUCCUCCCAAAUCUCUUAAUGGGGUUCAUUUUCCCACUAGUGCUCACACCUAAAACUGUUCACAUUCAAUAUCUGAUCAUCGUGAUCAGUUUCCCAAUAAAUCCAACUGGUUUUCAAAUGCACAUGUCUUAGUUGUUGUUUCUUCCCAUUACAUCACUCUUUUUUAAAUUUUAAUUUUAAUUUUUUUAGAGACAAGGUCUCUUUCUGUCACCAAGUGCAGUGGCACAAUCAUAGCUCACUUACCCUUGAAUUCUGGGGCUCAGGCAAUCCUCCUACUUCAGCCUCCCAAGUAGUUAGGACUACAAGUAUGCACCAUCAUGCCUGCCUAAUUUUAAAAAAAUUUUAGAAGAGAUGGGGGUCUUGCUAUGUUGCCCAGGCUGGUCUUGAACUUCUGGCCUCAGUUGAUCCUCGUGCCUUAGCCUCCCAAAGUGCUGGGAUGACACACGUGAGCCACCAUGCUGGGCCUCCUUUUCUUUUUCUAACCAUGAUCAUCUCAAGUUAUGUGUCCUUGAGGCAGUUGGGGUGCGGGGGGUAGGAAGUGUGGGUCAGAUUGUCUGCAUUGAUAUCCCAGUGCUGCCGUCUUGCACGGUGAGACUGUGAACCAAGUGAUAAAUCUUUCUCUGCCUCAGUUUCUUUAUCCGUUCAUUGGGAGUGAUAAAAAAUAAUGUCUCCACGUGUUUUUUGACAAUUAAAUGAGGUGACACAUGUAAAGCACUUAGAACGGGAGCAAGCACAUAGUUAAUUUUAAAAAUUAACAUUAUUUUCCUAAAUAAGUAUUUAAAUGUUGAAGCUUUCUUCUUUAUUUCUGCAGUUUCCUAAUUGAUGUCCUGGUUUUUCUCUUCCACCAGUCUUCAUACUUCUCCAGAUCCAGGGGACAUGGCAAAAAGAACCUGAAUUCAUCAUGAGGAAGGAACCCAUCACAAGGAAGCAACCUAUGAAGGCAGCCAUUAGGCAAGGGACAUCUGAGAUGGGCACUGCAAGCAUGUUCAAGAAAACACCUCUUCUGCCAGCUAGAGGCUCCCCCGCCCAGUGGAGGAGGAAUCAAAUUCCACCAUCUUUAAUCUGGCUACACCAUAUUUGAAUAAUAAUCCUGAAAUUCACAUUGAUGCUCAAGAAGUCGCUUCUUCAAAACUUUAAGGUUUUAUAAAGAUGAAUUUCCAGUGCUCUGAAAUACCAUGGAUUAGUAGUUAAGCCUGACAGCACUUCGGGGAGUAGCGAGCUUAAAGUGCCUCACACAGGUCUCCAAAGCACUUGUUUACUAAUAGAGGAAAUCAGCAACCGUCUGCAGCUGCUGAUAUCGCAUUACCAUUUGGAAAGACAGUAGCUGAGAUAACAAAUCACACAGUUUUAAUAAUUACUCCUGCAUUCCCGUUUUUUGUUUCCUGCAUAACUGUAAAGGCUGGAUUUCUUCCAAAUAAACAGAUAAAAACAGUAUGGAACUUUUAUCUUUUAAUGAUAAUGACAACACAUCAUGUUUCACUAAAAGUUUCCUGCUGAAUUUUUUCUGAUUUCUAGAGUUUCAAUAAAAUGUAAUUAUACUUUAUAAUUCCACUCUUUUAAUCUUCACUUCAAAAACUAUUCACAGUGAGCAAGUUUGCCAGGCACCAAGAGUAGGGGACGAACUGCUUGGACUUACCCAUGUUGACUAUCUCCUGCUUUCUAUCUUGGAGUAAACCUGUCAUUGAAAUUGCAUCCUGUACAUUGAGCUGCUUUGCAUUCAAAUUAAUAGCUAGUUUAAUUUGAAUGUAAAAUAGCUCCAUUUAUGCCAUCAUUUAAAAAAAAAAAGAAGUAAGGCAUUUGGCAAUGAAUGGAUGUUUAAGAUAUGAUACAUUUGCAACAUAUUUUUAAUCCCAAAUUGAACUUAUAUUAGGAUGGAGACAUUUUAAUAUCAAUAGUUAAGUCAUAAAAGAAGCCCUUUUAAAAAUCUGCAUAGUAAAUACAUGCUUUAGGGGUCAAAACUACUCAUUGUACAGAUACAGUGCAGGGUUUAGUUCGUAUGGUUUGCGCUGGGUAUUUUCUGGCAAAUCUGUGCAUUGUUACAUUUCUAUAGUCCAAGGAUGGCAAUUGAUUUUUAAAACACAUGCUGCAACUUUAUUUGGUCUGUAAUUACAUGGACUUUAUUUGGAGGUCAGUGAAGGAACAACUAAAUAGGAAAAUGUAGUCUUCCUCCCUUGUGCAAUGAAACCAUAAAAGUUGGCAGACAGAAAGGAAUGCUAAACUUUUUCCCAGAGCUCUGAGUUUGGUUUCCACUGGUCCAUGUUCCAUUGGGUGAUUAGAGAAAGCUUUUUUAAACCCUUACUUCAGAAUGAUCUUAAUUGGUGCAAGGUUGAGCCCUUUCUAGGAGGGGAGGGAAAAGGUUGAAUAGCCUUUUCAAGUCACAUGAAAGUUUCUAGGAUGAAUGUACGAUAAUUAGAUUAAUAAGUAGCUUAAUUUAUCACAGCUGAGGAUUUCAACAGCCACACAUUAGAGCAAGAAAAAAAGAUUAGUGUGAUUCUAGUUUGUAAAAAAAAAAAAAAAAAAAAAAAAUUUACUGAAACUUGAUUAACCUUAAACACAAAGUGCCUUUCUUUUUCAGUGUAAAUGUCUAACCGGGGGAGGGGCGUGGAGCAGGGAAAUCCGGGAGGGGACCUAAAAUAAUCAGAGAAGUCCUGUUUUAUUCCUUUCUGUCUCCCAGUUAAUGAGCAGUAUCAGGAUGCCUUGAACCAACUUUUCCUUUUACGUUUCUUAUCCUUAAAAUAAUGGGCUGACCAUAAGCCUGCAGAAUCUUAAAUUAUGUUGCCCGCCCACAUCAUAGAGAUCUGUCUUUUCUGAUGUACAGUUUGUCAUAAGCAGAGUCACUUGUGUCUGUUGAGAAAAAUAAAGAUAGUGCCAUUGGGAGGACACCAUCAUUUUGGUUAGUAUGUGGCAGGAACAUUGAGGCUUAGCUUGUUGGGUGACAUCUCUAGUUAUCUCAAGGCUGAAAAGCCUGAAUUUAGACCCAUGCAUUCAAAAAUCGUAAGUUGCCUAAAUAAGGGCAGCAGUGAGUUGAAAUGAACAGUAUUCAUUGAUAAAACAUGCAAAAUCAAGACGAUUAUUAUAAUAGCAAGAAUAAUUGAUUUCAACAGGGUUUAAAAAGUCAGAUGAGAACUGACACUCAAAAAAAAAAAAAAAAACCAUCAAUUCAAAUUAUCCUCCAUUGGGAUUCUUUUUUUCCAUCUUCUCCACAAGUGCACAAUAAAGUAUUUUGAGAAAAAGGAGAAUCUGCUGGACCAUCUGAUGAUCAGAUCAUCAGGGUGGACUAACGUCAGAUUUGAUUAACUAACCUUAAACUUCCUGACUUCUGUCUGGCUAAAAACAAAACUGCAAUGCCAUGUGAAACAAAGCUGCUGGUAUCAGCGUUGUUUUGCUAUGGAAGAGCCUGGAACGUGAAUGUCUGGUACCUGUCAACACUUAACAGUCAUCGUGGUUGGGAGGCCGGCUAAUGCGAGCCCAGCGGUGGAGCAGGGUUUUGGGCAUUGCCCAUGUGCCUGCAUGGAAAAAAUGUGUGGCUGGAUGUGGGUAGGCGGCUAAGACACCCUCCAAGUGGAAGGGAAAAAUCCAAAGCUAAAAUACCAGACAACUUUGGGGACACCAGUACUUCCACAAUGAAAAUUGUUGUGUGUUCUCUUCAGUCUCCAGAACUUACAUUAGAAGCGUCCUGAAAUACGUUUGGGUGUGGCCCGUGCACACAGCCCCAGCUACAACAUUGAGAAGUUACCUGUGGCCCAGCCAGAGCUACGAGGGCAAUGCCAAGGGCACUUGUGCACCAGCUUGUUAGAUAAGUUCAGUGACUUGAAACAGCGCCAGAGGUGAAUCCGUUUCCACUGCUAGGGAAUCUUCUCUCAGAGCACUAGUCUUCUCUUCUGCUGGGAUGAAAGGAAAGCUUUGAUUUUUUUAAAAAAAUCAUAUAAUGAAAAAUGACAUAUUGUAGAUAAAAUAUACUGUAGUUUAAAAUGUUGCAAUUUCCAAACAUUAGUGUAAUUAUAGGCCCUGAAUAAACUUGGAAAGCUAAGGCACACUGCAGCCAGCAGCCCAAACCUGUAAGUAUGCUUAUAAUCUAAAAUGGAUAUCUCAUUACUGGUUAACAUUAUUUAUUUAGGAGGAGAUACGACCUCUAAUUUGCCUUUAAAUGAUUAAUUUGGUGUUUAAAUAAGUGCCUUUUACUUAAUAAUGUUUUCUUCAACCAAUUCACUUAUGUCAAUAAACUCUUUGUUUAACCUUCUUAAAGGAAACAUUUUCUCUGCUCUGAGGCAAUUAAUGAGCUAUCAAAUAAAUAGGUACAGGAAAAUGAACUAAAAUUAAGGACUGCCCAAGACAGCAAAAAUGCUUUAAUCUGUGGAGUGGGUACUGUGGUUUACUGUCAACCACGAUGCAGGAAGAGUGUCAGUCCAUUCCUCACCCUCCCAUGAGUCUCCUUUCUGUCUUUAGUUCACAGAGAAGGCAACUCUCACUAUAGGACCUACCAAAACGGGAAUAGCCCAUACCUAGUUAGAGGCACUUUUCUCUCAAUUGCUCGUUCUUUAAGUUUGGGAAAAACAAUGAUAAAUCUUCAAGUUGGGAAUGGGUUGCCACUUUUUCA
rnacentral:lncRNA from 1 species